rnacentral:rRNA from 1 species
GAUGAACGCUAGCUACAGGCUUAACACAUGCAAGUCGAGGGGCAGCAUGACCUGGCACUAGGUUGAUGGCGACCGGCGCACGGGUGAGUAACACGUAUCCAACCUGCCGAUUAUUCCGGGAUAGCCUUUCGAAAGAAAGAUUAAUACUGGAUAGCAUAACGAGAAGGCAUCUUCUUGUUAUUAAAGAAUUUCGAUAAUCGAUGGGGAUGCGUUCCAUUAGUUUGUUGGCGGGGUAACGGCCCACCAAGACAUCGAUGGAUAGGGGUUCUGAGAGGAAGGUCCCCCAUAUUGGAACUGAGACACGGUCCAAACUCCUACGGGAGGCAGCAGUGAGGAAUAUUGGUCAAUGGACGAGAGUCUGAACCAGCCAAGUAGCGUGAAGGAUGACUGCCCUAUGGGUUGUAAACUUCUUUUAUAUGGGAAUAAAGUGGGCCACGUGUGGCUUUUUGUAUGUACCAUACGAAUAAGGAUCGGCUAACUCCGUG